UCCCCACGAGCAGCCCUCCGCGCAGCGCUGCUUCUUUGGCGACGCUGCUUUCCGACGCAGCUUCGCGACGGAACAUCUGCAACGCUAUUUUGGAAAACGUCGCGAUCCAACGCAUCUCUUGUCCGUUGUACGAAGAGGCACGUAUUUUGAUUAAGAGAAGUGAACGCGCUUCGACUACCAAAAGGCAAGUGACAUUCAAAUCCUACCUAUUUCAUUAUGCAUUAGUGUUUUUCAACUAGUGUGCAUGGUAGGAUUUUGUUUUCAAAAGAAAAGUAUUAUGCUAUGCGUAGCAAACCCUAGUAGUGUGUAGCUACUCCUGAACCUAUUAAUAGGAUACUUUAUUUUUGCUCUGCAACAUCAAAUGCCAAAUGUUGUUUCAUUGUUUCGAUUGUGAUGGUUUGAAAAGUGAAAAUUAACAACCCUUAAUGAAUCACCUGGGUGGAUUGUUUGAGUGGUGGGCGGCUGCUCAGGGCUCCGAUCCCUGGGGAUGGACCAGUGGACGGGUGGGUGCCUGAGAGUGCGCGGUUGAAUAGGGGUUGCCACCCAGGAUUAGAGAGAUUAUUAUGUCGUCCUUGUUUUAGAUAGCUUCCAGUGCAACCACAAUACAUUAUGGGCUCUGUCUUAGCUAAGUACUUAGUGGGAAACCUCGCUUAGGGUACCGCCAGCUGGUGGAGUUUCAGGGUACGGGCGGAUCCGGUAGGUAGAGGGGCUACUAAAGAAAAGCUUCGUAGUGACCUCGUCCUGGCCUUAGUGAAGAUGAAGAAUUUUGGCAAAAAGGCUUGGUUGCGAAUUGUGGGUAAAGAGCGCAACCUCUCGAGAGUUAAACCUAAGAUCUUAGCCGUGUCCCCGGUUACGGACAAUUUGAGCUUCUAGGCAGGGAAUGUACGGAGGAAUCUCAUCAUCUUUUAUGAAUGUAUUUAAAAUUUUGUAUCAACCUUUGAAAACUCAUGGGAGAUGUAACCAUGUGAUUAUUCUAAAACCCAUGGAGGAUUUAUCCAUGGUGUGAUUUCAUAAUGUCAUUCAAAGAUUUUCAAAAUGUUUUGUUUUAAAUAAAAUGUAGGAUAAAAUUGGCUUUAUGCAAAUUUGCCUAAACUCCACUUGCCAAAUAUCAUGUAGAUAGUCAUGCCCAAAAAUGCCACCAUAUAAGUGUCAUUUGCCAGUACAUCAUUGUACUGACCUCCAUUCGUGGGGCUGCAUAUUCAAACGUGCAGGAUUUUCUGAGGAGAAGUACGUGGUAGGAUCUCGAGUCUACAUUCCAACAUGACUGCCUGUGGCACAUGAAGAUGAUGAAGGCUCAUUGCUGAUUUACUUUCCGCUGUGUAUAUUCUGAAUAUUGUUGGGCUAGUCCAUGAGACUAUGCAAAUUGUAAGAUUUUACUUUACCCUUUGGUUCAAUGAUGUAGUAAUUUGAUACUAUUGCAAUGAUUACUAUAUUUUGUAAUGUGUGUGCUAUCAGUGAUCCCGGGAAUAGCACUA